rnacentral:rRNA from 1 species
AUUGAACGCUAGCGGGAUGCUUUACACAUGCAAGUCGAACGGCAGCGCGGACUUCGGUCUGGCUGCGAGUGGCGAACGGGUGAGUAAUGUAUCGGGACGUGCCCACUAUCGGGGGAUAAUUACGCCAAAGCGUAGCUAAUACCGCCUACGCCCUACUGGGGAAACCAGGGGAUCGUAAGACCUUGCCCUCUUGUGGCGGCCGAUAUCGGAUUAGCUAGUUGGUGAGGUAACGGCUCACCAAGCCGACGAUCCGUAGCUGGUUUGAGAGGACGACCGGCCACACUGGGAGUGAGACAGGGCCCAGACGCCUAAGGGAGGCAGCAGUGGGGAAUUUUGGACAAUGGGGGCAACCCUGAUCCAGCCAGCCCGCGUGUGAGAUGAAGGCCUUCGGGUUGUAAAGCACUUUUGGCAGGAAAGAAACGUCGCGGGCUAAUACCCCGUGGAACUGACGGUACCUGCAGAAUAAGCACCGGCUAACUACGUG